UGAUCCGAAGAUUUCCGAAUGAGGAAACUCACUUAGAGUAAUGUCUAAGUAUCAUUAAGUGAAUACAUAGCUUAAUGAGGGGAACUCAGGGAACUGAAACAUCUAAGUACCUGAAGGAAGAGAAAGAAAUUCGAUUCCGUAAGUAGCGGCGAGCGAACGCGGAUUAGCCCAAACCAAUAAAGUUUUCUUUAUUGGGGUUGCGGACAUAUCAUAACGAAGAGGUAUCGUAAUUGAAGAGGUUUGGAAAGACCCACCACAGAAGGUAAUAGUCCUGUAUGUUAAACGAGAAGACUUCAGAUAUGAUCCAGAGUACCACGGGACACGUGAAACCCUGUGGGAAGCAGGAGGGACCACCCUCCAAGGCUAAAUACUACCUAGUGACCGAUAGCGUAUAGUACCGUGAGGGAAAGGUGA
rnacentral:rRNA from 1 species